UUUUUGCUAUAAAAAAAAAAUUAAAUAAUUAUUUUACAAACGGCGCCCCAUAGUCAUAGAGGUCACAAUUUUGAUCCGAUUGUGAUGAAACUUGAAAAGCAUGUUUAUAACCCAAAUAUAUAUCUUGUUUCCUGUCGAUAUUUACGCAUAUCGGAAUGUAAAUUUCUGAAUUAUGGCCCCUGAUUGUAUGAAAAAUCGCACUUUUUGCUUGUGGUCCCUCUAGAGGUCACAAGUUUUAUACGCCCAAAUUUUCAUGUGGACGUAUAUAUUGUCGUCGCCCAUGUCCGUCCACAAUUGUUUGUGGACUCUCUACAGGUCACAAUUCUUAUCCGAUUUGCCCUUAAACAUCAUGGAUUGUUCGCAUGUCUGAUUGUCUGCCACAACAGCCUGUGUACGAAUACCAGCCACAUCAGAUUUGAGCAGCACCAUAAAUAACAACAUACAGUAUUGUAAAUCCAAUGGCCAUUGCUUUGGCCAUGGUGCCUACAGCAGGUGUCUUCUACAUUUGAGACUGGUUUAGAUGUAUGUCACACUCAAGGUUUACUUUUUUUUUUAUUGAUUGGUAACUAAUUUCUGGUUGGAGGGCCACUGAAGGGAUGUUCGCUAGAAAUAAAGAGGCAUAUUAUUUCUAUUUCCAGUUGAAACCGGGAGGAGGUCUCCCUUCUUAUUCAACCACAUAUAUUUUUUUUUGUUUUUAUUAUUAUUUUCUUACUUUUUUUAUUGCAUAUUUAUUCUCAUCUUUCUAUCAUUUCAGGUGUCAGGUUACUGUGCAAGAGUGGAAUGAUUGACCUCAACACAAGAAUUAAGGCAAAAGGGAAUCAACUUUAUUUGAGGUCAGAUAAAUAACUGGUGGAACCGUUUCAUGUGUUAUCCCACCCCGGCACACAACAGAAUGAGGGCGGCACUUUUAGCAGUCACCAUCGUAACACAUGAUAGUGGACUCUAGGACUUUUGGACUAACUUGGUUAGAAAGAGUCUGCAUGCCACUCCGAUAGGGCGGUGGAAUAUCCAAAUCUGUCAACAGCAGCCGAGCUCUGGUGUUUCCAACUGGCAUGUCUAACAGUCCAGAUUGUAGGUCAGAUUAUUUCCCAGUUGAAAUCUCUUUAUACAACUUGUAGACAGGUCUACAUCUCAAAACCCGAUGACUUCCUGGACUGGCUUUAGUAGAAAGAUGAUGCAUACAUAUUAAUUUCAUCCCCGAUCUCUGUGACAGCUGUGGAAGUUGAGGGCAAAACAUAAUCGGUUUGGGUUCCAGCCAAGGACCCCUGUAAAUGUUGCUGUUUAGUGUUGACUUCAUUUCCGAGUUUGAAAAAAGACAGCCUUGCGUUUAUUAUGGCCUCUCAUAUUGGAAGAUAAAAUAAAUGGCUUGAAUGUUGACUGUUGUGCAUAUCUCUGGGUCAGGAAAGUUGUAGGCACCAUCACCAUUGUAAAUCAUUUGACAGACCAGAAUGAAGAGUGAGAACUAUGAUUGGUCAGCCAUGUAUCAGAUUCCAUACUAGGGGGCGUCAAGAUCAUAAAACUGUUGUAGUAUUACAUAAUCAGAUUAUAAACUGAACUUAAUUGCCCUAUGUAAAUACAGCUAUGUAGAAGACAUUUUAAAAUUUAUAGGCAUGUUUCACCAUCUAAGUUUUGACCACAAUUUGGCACUUGAAACUGCGUUAAUGGAGAAAAACUAUGUGCUUUUCGACAAAAAUGUUAAAAAAAAUCUAAUAUAAUUACAUGAUAAUUACUGUUUUAAAGGAUUUUCUUGUUUGAUUUAUAUUGAUUUUUUGUUAUCUUUUUACAGAAUGCAUUUAUGUUCAAAAAAAAAAUGUUCUGUGGAAAUCCAAAUUCAUGUGCUUUUAAAUUUCUUUCUGAAAAUUCGCAGUUUGCUGCUGUAUUAUAGUGUUUGGAGAAUGCUGCACUAUUGGUCUGAAAAUGCAUGGAUUUUCAUAAUCUUUGGCCAGGGCAUUGCAUAUAUGUUUGUUUAUUAGAAUACAACAGAUUUGUUCAAACAGCAAGAACAUGUGAGGUAUAUAGGACUAAGACUAGUAAUUAUUUCCCCUUAUUUCAUGAUGGAUGAAUGUAGUGCGAGUUAUAGACAAUUUUUCCCUUAAUUUUUAUACGUCCACGGCCACAAUUCUUACUCGAUUUUCUUCAAACUUUAUAUACUUAUUCCUUAUACCCUAAGGAAGAUCAAGAUUGUUUUUGGUGCAUGCCCAUUUUUUGUAUUUGUUUGUUUGUCGUCUACAGACUGCA